rnacentral:rRNA from 1 species
UAUCCUCGGAUCGACGAGCCGCCCUCGACGCGACCCCAGGUCAGGCGGGGCCACCCGCUGAAUUUAAGCAUAUCAAUAAGGCGGAGGAA